UCAAUACAAUUAUUUCUUGAGGUCGUUUGUAUGUAUAAGAGCAUAAAUAAUAACAACAUUCGAUUCAAGACUGCAAAUAGGCCAUGCAAAAUCACAUGCUUGUAUUUUUAAUAAUGAAGUCUCAGCUGUGCCUGUCCAUCUGGGCUCGGAAGAACUUGAGACACAUCAGUUUUUGCAGGCACUCAUGCUUUGCCUGCCUGGUAAGAACUGAGGCUUUUAACUACGAACUAUCACUAAUGUAGUUGUUUUGUUUGAAUUAUUUGCAUUUAAAACUUUGAUUUAAUCUUCAAGUCUACGGAAACUUCCAGAAAGGAUCUUCAGAGCAAUGAAAUAUAAGCGCAUAUUUCCUGUGGAAUCCUUGAGUAAGGUGGAAAAUCCAUGGAAAGGCUUCACUCUGAACCGCUGUAUACUAGUGGCCAUGGUCAUCGUGGUGGUCAGCUCAGGGGUUGAGAUAGUACAAGAGACAAUAGAGCCAUACUUUGAAGUGACAGAAGAUGAACCUGGAUCUGAGCUUCAGGCCGAUGAUCUGACAGCAGAGCCUGAAUCUUGGUGGGACACCUUUGCAUUUUGGAACUGGAGAUCUGAGGAUGAAAUCGAAGAGUUCAGAAAGAAAAGAGCAGCGAGACCGAGACAGGAUGGAGAUAAGGUCGGACCACGGAAGAUCCGUAACAAAGAAAUGGCUAAAGGAUUACUCAAGGAGAGGGAAUAGUCUGUAAUAUACCUAAAACUGUGUUAUGGAUGAAAUAUAUAUAGUAAAUAAAUAUAUAUAUAACUCUCA